rnacentral:lncRNA from 1 species
UCAUAUUAGCCUAUACUUUUCAUCAAAUUAGAUUUUUACUAUUCAUUUUACAUCUGUUUUACAAAUAAGUCCUUUUUAGGUAUUUUCAUGAAAAAUCACUUAGUAAAAGUUGUUUAUUACACAUCAAACUUUCAUUUUCUACCAUUAAACAUCAAAACACAUGCAUGUCACACAUGGGUAAAUUUUUAAACAUGAACCCUACUUCAAAACAAUGGCAGAAAUGGAAUCGG